GCUCAGUAAACACAGCCUUUGCAAAGAAAAGGCAGUGUUUAGAUUGCUGGCUAGUUACACCUGUAGUAGCAGUCACAUAGAUGGCCACUAGAGUCUAAACACACUGCAUGGAAGCGCUAAACGUUCCCCAUAGAAGUGCAUUGAAUCAGUGCAUCUCUAUGAGGAGAUGCUAAUUUGCACUUUUCUUAUGGAAAAGCAUUGGAUUGGCUGAGAUGAUCAUCAAGAUUGAUUAUCUCAGCCAUGGAGGUGGGGCCAGGG